GGUUCUAUUUAAAUAUUCAUUGCUUCAUUAGGAUUCCUACACAACGGCAGAUGUUAAGGACCAAAACAUGACAAAAAAAAGGGAUUCUGAACAAAGCAUCUGCUCCAAAUACAAUGAUGGGAACCUGUGAAACAAAAGAAACUUUGUUACAAUCAAACAAAUGACCUAUAAGCCACAUUCCUUAUGACAUCAUACCUCCUUGACAACAUACCUCCUAAAAUUUUGGAAACAGAAAGAGCGAUAGAAUGGUCAAUCGUGCAGAUGUCACAAACCAGUAAAUUGCUCCAACUGCGAAUUCGCAAUUCCGAAGACCUGGAAAAUGGCUGCGGUGAAGUCCGAUGCCUGAAUCUGCACCGAGGGCUGUACUUCUCCUGCUGUUUGUUGUUCAACCAACUGUGCAACCAGAUUACUUGGUCGUGUUUCUACUUAAUGUAGCAAAACACCUGGCCCCGCGGAUGGGCGCGAAGGUUAAAGGAAACACACAACCGGUCAUGGAAAGAUCAGACCCCUCAUUAAACUUGAAAGUGAAGUCUGCACUGUUUUAUUAUCACAUGGUAAACUUUUGUUUCGCAGUCAGCUCCUAAGGGCAGUUAAGAUUAUGGCGAGGAUUUUGUCUCUCCCGCUAGGAUGGAGGAAAUGAAAGCCAAGUGGAAAAACAAGGAGGGCAACCUCACAUGAAGAUCAGUGACCUUCACCAACGGCCUGCUAUGUGACAGCAAACCUAUUUUUUA